GAGGAGAGGUAAAACCAGCGAGAACUGCUAACUCUUGUACCUGAGCAUAAGACCUCAGUCUCCUUG
rnacentral:tRNA from 1 species